CGGCGGCGGCGGCGAGCGCGGGCCUCAGGCUGCCUUCCUGCUUGAGCUCCUCCUGGAUGCGCCGCAGCAUGUUGUUGAUGAGAACGGUCUUUUGCAAGCUGGGCUCCGUGAGGGGCCUGUGGUUGUAGAGCUUCAUAAGGGAAAUGUUGAAGAUAGUCUGGCGCUGUAAGGUGUAAGACACCUUGGACGGACCGUCGGAGGGAGCCAGGAUUUUGCCUUCCAGCCCAUCUUCAUGCUCGUCAAACUUCCGUUUUUCCCCUUUACCCAACAUAUAUCUGCAGAGGAGAAAGGAAAGGGAGCGGCAUCAACCACACGGAAACUCAUCAUUUUCUGCCCUAAAAGGGACGCCGAUUCGGGGUUCGGGGCUUGGACUUCAGUUGCUUGCCCCAGCAUGCACAGAGUUUUUCUGCCUGUUGGGUGCCAUGUGGCCUAGCACCCGGCCUGGGUUAAGUGACCACAGCGAUGGAGCAGCCACCGCUUCUCAGCCCAGAAUAAAGUGGAGGAAUGUGGCUUUCCCAGCCCAAGCGCCAGUGGCUCAAUUUGAUUGCGUACAGUUAACGUCUGACUGCAACCGCACGAAUUUAAAAGUAAUUUGUUCUGAUUAUAAGACCUGCUGUUUGAGUACGUGAGACAUUUCAUAACAAAAUACCUACUGUGAUUCCACAGAUACACACGUGCUUCGGAAAAGAGCCAACCACCUCAUAUCUCAGACCUUGACAUUUGGGAAUGGCGUGAGUUUUAACACCUGCCCUGCCUCACCUGCCGCUCCCUGCCUAUGCCGCUGCCUCCUUGCCUGCUCUGGCCUUACUGAGGACUCCCUCGGCCGGCUGCACCUUCUGGAGAGUGUUCCUUCCUUUCAGAACUUCUACCGUCUAAACAGAACAACUGUUCUGUUUAGUUCUGUUUCAGUACAACUGCAAGCCCACUGGUCUUUGCCUCACAGACCUCACUUUCUAACCAUUUAAUCAGGAAAGUUGUUCUCCUGCUGUCCAGACCAGAAGACGUGGUUCUCAUUAAGCCGGGCCUGUGCUUGCUCCCCCAGCCGGUCUGCAGCACUUACCCACAGGCGAGUGUUAAUCCUCUCCUGGGUGCCACUCACUGAUAUCUUCAUAUACAAGUAGUUUGUACUUAUCCAAUUUUUCUUCUAAAAGCGACUUGCCUUUUACUGAAUUGCUUCAGCUGAUUUUGAUGGAGCCUCAUUCAGUCUUUAUAUUUGUUUACUCAUUCUGCAUCUAUGCUGUCGUGGGCACUCUGCCAGAAAGUGGGUAGUCCUGCCAAUGAAUAAAGCCUGGUCUUCAAGGGGCUGAAUAUCAUCUCCUACACCUCAUUAGCAUUUUGAGUUGAGUCUCAUCCUAAAGGAAUAAAGCUAACCAUAAUAAAACCUCACAGAUCUUCCUUGCAACACUUUGUUAAGGAAGACCAUGCCACACCACCCCCCCAUCCCUCCAAGGCGGACAAACAUGCAAGUGGGUCACAGGACACACGAGUUCCACUUGCAGUAGUCACUGCCUUCACGUGCCUCAGUCCCCAGGAGAGAGAGACAGCCGCAACCCAUCAACGUCAGAAUCAGCUUGCGAAUUUAUUAACGUUCAUAAAGAAUGUACAGUUACUUGUAUGAAACACUCUGCCUUAUGUAAACAUUAAGAAAAUGGAUGUCAAUCACAAGGACCAAAGACCUGUCCCAUAAUGUUCUCUGAGGCAAGGAAGAUACGCUAGUAAUAACUCUUAUAUCUACUGCUCCACAUGACAAAAACAUUUCCUACUGUUUAGUGCUAAAAAGUCAUUUGUAUAUAUACUUUGCAUAGAACAUUUCCUAUCUAAAGUAUCUGUGCUCAUUUAAACUUGAGUGUGAAUCAGAGACGAGGUGAUUCCAUUUCACGUUACAAAACACUUUUUCCUUUAUGCCUUAGAAGUGUUACUGGACGACUGUGUUUUGAAACAGUUAUACUAUUUGUAUCUGUUUAAAAUUUAACCUUUAAAAUACUCACUUCUAGGAAAAUUCCAUUUUUGCCAAAGAGCUCACUGAGCAUGUGUAAUUCUCAUUAUAAGGCUAUAAAAUGGUCUAUGUUACUGGUUACAGGUAAUGGCACCUGAUACAUGUAAACCUGUGCAACAGUACACAUAUGCAUAUAAAUACACUCUAAAACAGUGUUUCUCAAAGUGUGGUCUGUGGAAGGUGCCAGUCUGUGAACUGUUACUGGCCCCUGACGAGUUAAACAGAGAUACUGUGUUAUUUAGAAACUUUUACAGCAAAUUUACAGAAUAAUUGUAUAUCUGUAUAUCUAAUUUCUAAAAUGGGGCUUCCAUUUUUGUCUUUGUACUUUGAUUUCACUUCUCUAGUAAGUAUUUUUAUGUUUUACUAAAGUAUUCAUCUAUGAAGGAGGAAAAAACAAGAUGAUCCUUUAUCACAGAAAGUUUGAGAAGCACUGUCCCCAAAUGUUAACCAAAAACAAAUAACAAACAACUAACAACAAAUUACAGCAAAGACUUUCCUUUUAGUCAUCGAUACAGGAUUGUCUUUUUUAAAGAAUUGGUGCCAGGAUAAACAAUACUUUCUCAAUAACUUUCUCAGCAAGGAUUACUUACUUCUCUAGAAAUAAUUACUGAAUGAAUAAAACUCGAAUAUUUACCAAGCAUGCAGUACUAUGGGCAUUUAGCAGAACUCCCACAGCUGAAGGAGACGGGUGGCGAUGUUUUGGAUGAGAUUUCAAAGUGAGAAGCACUUAAUUUCCAAGUAGAAUGAUCCAGCUGGUCAUAGCUGUGUGAUAAUCCUAAUGAUUUAGGAACAGCCUGGUAAGAUGUUGUAAUGCUGGAAGGGGAAGGUGGAGGACCCUCGUAAGCAGGAUAGACAAAUCGAACCUUGGAUGCUUUUCAAGUGUGUAAAUAAGAACCCAUGAUAGAGUGUGUCUCAAAGCAGGUUUGCCUUCAUUUCUCUAUAGCAUUUUAUGAGGCAAAACUGGCUCCACACACCCAGUGAGAUUGCAAAACGCACACGAUCCUGAGUCGUAUUCCUGAUUCUAUCUACCUUGUUAUCAAAAGGAAGAAAAUGCAACAAUAUAAUAAAAACAGCCCCACGUUUUCCCUUAAAGACUUUAAAUUAAAAAGAAAUGUUGUUAAAGGUCAAAGUUUUUCCAGAGUUUGCUUUAGCACAUCGUCUGAGUCCGGUCUUCCCACUGACCACGUUCAGAGGAGGCCUCCAGCUCCCGGAGUGGGAGGUUUUGAGAACUCUCACUCGCAGCGCAGUAAGGGUGUUAAUGACCACCUUCUGGAGCAGGGCACGCUUCAAAGAAGACGAGACAAGCCACUCAAGAACCUGAGGGCAAAGCCAAAUGGUGUCUCUGGGCCUGGAGCUGGGCUGGCCAAAGCCAGGGUCAGCAGCUCCUCAGAAGCCUCUUUCCCCAGGCACGCUAAGAAAAUAACAAUAGCUCUUGAAAGCACGCCUAGUGGAGACGCACGUGACCUUUUAAAAGGCCUCACUAGGCUGCAGCUUGAAGAUGAAGCAGUAGCUGGGGCUCAUUUAAGGGAACCCUGGGGCAGGGGGUGUUCCGCUGUUCCUGCCUCAGAGGCCCCGGCUGGGGACAAGGGGCCUGCCGUCCACUGAAAGGAGGGGCUUGUGACAAGUGUGGCUUCUAGGCCAUCCAGAGCCCUGACCCCCCUCUUUGUCUCCUCUCUUGGCUUGUGAGGACUUAAGCCCAAAGCGCAUGUCUUCUACCCAAGUUUUCAAAGAUCCAAGACCAACCCUAGAACUUGAGGGCUGGUUAGAGACCUCCUCACAUGGAGGAAGGAGGUGGCUGCUUCCUCCCUUUUCUGCCCCUCCAAAGGAGCCGAAAGCCAACCACAGGCACUCUUCUCUUGGAUAUCCGGUGGUUCUUAAUAUAAGCUUCUUGAGAUAAAACACCCUUCUUUCCAAUAAACCUGUUAGAAACAAA